GCUGUGUACAGAAAAAAUAUCAAUGCGCGAUCGAAUCACGUGACAGGUCAUUGAGGUCAGUUGAUUCGACUUCCGUCAUUUCGUUAAUUGAUGGUGCACCUUAAUUGAUACAGACAUGAAGAAAUUGUGUGUGAAAUAACAAACUGUUGUGUGAGGUUUUUAAUGUGAUAUGGUCAAGACAUACUAUGAUAGUAUUGUUCAGUAUGACUUCUGUCAUGUUACUGUUUGAUAACAGUGAAGGUACAGUAGGUUCAGACAAGUUAUAUACAUGUAUACAGGACAAGACAGCUCAAACCGGCAGUUUGUUAUAGCAAAAAGUGAUGGAGUUCCAGCCUAGAAGUCUUCAUGAUGAUGUGGAUCCUAGUUAUAGAUUCUUUGAAAUUAUCUGUAAGGAAGGGGUUUCUGCUGCAGAGGAAAAAAAAUCAUACAGUUAGAAGUUGCCCACUCUGUUCAAAUGAAGCUGUCUGAAGUACCCAGUAGACAAUGUAUUAUUUCUGGAACAACUUAAUUGAAGUGAAGCUAACUAUGUGAAGGAGUUAUUCCUGUAUUCAAAAGGAAACUUCAGCAUGAGAUACAAAAAUAAGCGAUAAUAAUUAUUUUCCUGACACCAGAAUACACUAUGGUUCUGCUUGCAGUCAGAAGUGGUGUUCUAUUCUUGUAAAGCAGCAUUAAUUGUCCUGUCAUUUAAUUGAAAGUAAUUGACAAUAUUCUUGUUUGUUUUUCAGCAGCAUUUGUAAAGUUAAUUUUGUUUGAAUAUCACACCAUCCAUUGCUUUUGAUUUUCUUGUGACCAGAAACUAGCAUUUUACAUAGUGGUGUAAGCUAACUAUGAUAAUUCAUGCAAAGAUAUGAUAAAAAAUUAUAGAAGAAAUAUGUCUUCGAUUUACUGGUAAAUUGUUAAGUAUGGCAUGUAUGGAGCACAUUGUCUUUAUGAUUUGGAAUAAAUUCAGUGCCAGAUAUCAUUAACAAUAACUUGCAACAUGACAAAUAUAUUUUAUUUUCAGAUAUUUGUAGCUUCAGUUAUGGGAGAACACAAGAUUAAUUGAACUGGAAUCCCUUCAGACAUUGACAUAGCUAAAUUCCACAGUUUUAACUAUAAAUGGACAUUGAAUUAUUAUACAUUGGUUUUAUUUUAUACAUGUAUUUGUUAAUAUUUCUGUUUUCCAUUAUUUCCCAAUAUUGUUAAUUUUGGAUAAUAUAAUGCCAAAGAAAACUUGUCAGUCUUGGAGUAUGGCUGUUUAACAAAAACACUGCAGAUUGUUGGUCAGAACAAUGAAAUUACAGUUUUGCUUGUUAUAAAUGAACUAAUUUACAUAGAUAUAUAAUUUUUGUAAGCAUGAAAAAAUUUGGAACAUAUCAUAUAUAUAAAUAAUAAUGGACAUGAUGGAUAUUUGUUUCUUUUGCAUGCAAGAUCCAAAUAUAUUUCAUAGAGUGAACAGCAGAUUAGAUAUUUUCAUGAAUGGCAUUGAAAAACAUAUAUUAUGUAUUAGUAUAACUUUGCCAUGGAGGCUGCUAUUUUACUGUGACUGAAAGUAGUUCAGAUAUGACGCCUUAUUAUGUUCGAGGUUUAUAGCCCCUCAUACAAGCCAAAGAGAGCAGAUUUUUUUGUCUGUGUAAAAUAAAUAAUUUUCAAUGUUCAUAUUUGAAAGUGAUUCUGUAUUAUUUCCUGAAUUGUUUAAUUGCCUUCAUGAUUUGCAAAUAUUAAUUAUCUACUCUUUAUUUAUCACAUUUUUCUGAGAAAUAAAUGUAUUUCCCACAAAAUUUCUGUUUGUUUAUAGGCUUUUCAUCCUCAUUCAAAUAAAGCCUGGCUACUUACUGACUGAAUACUUUAUUGUGAAAUAAUUUAAAAGUAAUGUCAUUUUUAUACGCCCAUUUGAAAAACGGGACGUAUUAUGGGAACGCCCCUGGCGGGCGGGCGGGCGACGUCCAAUUUUUGUCCGGAGCAUAUCUCCUACAUGUAUGGAGGGAUUUUAAUUAAACUUCAUAGAAAUUUUCACCACUAUGAGGAGCAGUGUUGCGCACAUGAACUAGGUCAAAGGUCAAGGUCACACUUAGAGCUCAUUGAAAAAUGCUUGUCCGGAGCAAAACUUCUACAUGUAUAGAGGGAUUUCAAUAUUACUUGGCACAAAUGUUCACCAUUGUGAGGCAAAGUGUCGCGCGCAAGAUUCAGGUCCUUACAGCCAAGGUCAAGGUCACACAUAGAGGUCAAAGUUCAGAUAAAAAAAUGAAGAUGUGUAUAUGGACCAUUUAGUCAUCAUUUAUUGAGGGAUUGUAACACAAAUGGUCAUUAUCAAGACUAUGGCUGUGAUACAUAUAAUUUAGGUCAAUAUAUACAAGGUCAAGGUCACUAAAGAUGAUGAAAUAUCCAGAUUUUGUCCGGAGCAUAUCUCUUACACGCAUGGAGGGAUUUUAAUGAAAUUUCAUAGAAAUGUUCACCAUUAUGAGAAGCCAUGUCACGCACAUGAACUAGGUCUCUAGGUCAAAGGUCAAGGUCACACUUAGAGCUCAUUGAAAAACGCUUGUCCGGAGCAAAACUUCCACAUGCAUAGAGGGAUUUCAAUAUAACUUGGCACAAAUGUACACCAUUGUGAGGCGGAGUGUCGCGCACAAAAUUCAGGUCCCUUCAGCCAAGGUCAAGGCCACACAUAGAGGUCAAAGUUUAGAUAAAAAUAUGAAGAUGUGUAUAGGGACGAUUUAAUCUUCAUUUAUCGUGGGAUUGUAACACAAAUGGUCAUUAUCAUGAAUACGGCUAUGACACAUGUACUUUUGGUCAAUAUAUGCAAGGUCAAGGUCACUAAAGAUGGUGAAAUAUCCAGAUUUUGUCUGGAGCAUAUCUCCUACAUGUAUGGAAGAAUUUUUAUAAUACUUUAUGGAAAUGUUCACCACCAUGAUAUGUAUUGCUCCAUGCAUGAUCCAGGUCUCCAGGUCAAAGGUCAAGGUCACACUUAGAGCUCAUUGAAAAACGCUUGUCUGGAGCAAAACUUCUACAUUCAUAGGGGGAUUUCAAUAUAACUUGGCACAAAUGUUCACCAUUGUGAGGCUGAGUGUCGCACGCAAAAUUCAGAUCCCUGCGACCAAAGUCAAGGUUACACAUAGAGAUCAAAGUUCAGAUAAAAUUUGAAGAUGUGUAUAGGGACCAUUUAGUUAUCAUUUAUUGAUGGAUUGUAGCACAAAUGGUAACUAUUAUGACUACAGGUGUGACACAUUUAAUUUAGGUUAAUAUUUGCAAGGUCAAGGUCACUGGAGAUGAUAAAAUAUCCAGAUGUUGUCCGGAGCAUAUUUUCUACAUGCAUGGAGGAAUUUUAAUGUUACUUUAUAGAAUUGUUCACCACCAUGAGACGUAGUGCCCUGCACAUGAACCAAGUCUCUAGGUCAGAGGUGAAGGUCACCGUUAGAGCUCAUAGCAAAACGCUUGUCUGGAGCAAAACUUCUACAUGCAUAGAGGGAUUUCAAUAUAAUUUGGCACAAAUGUUCAUCAUUGUGAGGCUGAGUGCCGUGCAUAAAAUUCAGGUCCCUGCGACCACGGUCAAGGUCACACAUCCUGUGCAUAUCUUCCCUACUGAUUUGUUUUAAGGUUCAUUUAACAACACAGUGCCAAGGAUAAAAACUUGCUUGCUAGAUAACACUUAUCCAUAAUGCCCCCAUCUCCAUCUAAAGCUUUCGUAAACGGGCGUAUUUUGUGACUAUGGCACCCUUGUUUUUACUGAAAAGCAUGUUAUAAGUUAUGGUGUUCAAUUGAUUUCUGCAGGACAACUUAUGAAGGAAUGAAGUGUUUUGAUAUUUGCCAUGUUAGUAUCAAAAGACAGAUUUUCGUUCAAUUUUGGCCACAAUAAAUUAUUUUUGAUGCAGUUAUGCCCCUGUUUAGCUCGACUUUUUCUUUUUAAAAAAUAGAGGUAUGGUAACAGUCAUGUUGGCAUUGCCGAGGUUAUCCACGAACUUGUAUUUUGAUCAUUAUUUUUUAGCUCACCUGAGCACAACGUGCUCAUGGUGAACUAUUGUGAUCCUCCUCCAUCAGUUGUCGUGGGUCGUUAAAAAUUUCUUUAAACAAAUCUCCUCAGAAACCAAAGACUGCACAGUAACCAAACUUUGCAGGAAUGACUCUACAGUAAGUGCCCUUUGGUACUUUUGUCCAGUGCAUCACUUGAAAACUAGUAUUUGGAAUUCAAUUCAACUUCAUACAAUGGUCAAGCGAAUGAGAGAAAGUGCAGUGUACAAUUACCAUUACUCCAUCUGCAGUAUUUAUAGAGUUAUUGCCCUUUGAUCCUUUUCCUUGUCUUUCUUGACUUAUUACAGAGUUAUUCAAUAAAACUUCAUCAAUGGUCAACCACAUUGAAAGGAAAUGCAACAUACAGGAACCACAACUUACUAUCUUUAAAUGCCCACAAACAUAACUCUAUUUCAAUUCUUUUACAAGGUAUUCUGUUACAUCCUAAUGUCCAAAGCUGUUUUAUGGGGGUAUUAAUCACAUUUAGAGAUAGUUCUAGUUUUAACUGACCAUACUUGACUUAUUGUUUGUGAGAAUUUCAUGAAUCUCUCUGGAUGAAAUUGUGACAUUGAUAAGUCAUGUAUUCACAAUCACUGAAAGUUUAUCCCUGAUGGAACACUUAUUACUAGUAUGCAUAUAAACAGAAAGAUUUUUCAACCAUUUUCUUAUCGAGUUGUUUGGACUUGAUAACUUGAAUAUCAGAUUGAUAAUAACUAUAAUCCCCAAGAAUGAGCAUGUUUUUCAUAUGCUUUAUAAGUAGAUGAAAUUAUCAAUGCUAAGUCAUUGUUAAUAGAGGACUUGGUUAUCUACUUCCAGCUUCUGCUUCUGUCAGUAGUGUACUCUUAAAAUUUAUUCAACUUUCAAAGUAUUAUUUUGAGGAUAUAAAGCAGUUUGGUUUUUCGAUCUCAACUGAGCCACUUGAGAAAAAAUACUGGUUUUUAGUACUUUUGAUAAACCGUGUUGUAAUUGUUGGAUGCCAAUGAUAAAUCUUCCUGAAUUAAAUUAAAUAAAAUAUUGCUCUUUCCUUUGUAUUCAAUCAUUUCCACUUGAAUAUGACAUGACCUUUUUCAAAAAAGUUGCUAAAGAACAUGCUUUUGCCUUUCAGGUGAUCACCAGCAAUAUAAUGCCAUAUAAAUUUGUCAGCGCAAGCGACCCUCCAGUACUUUC